rnacentral:rRNA from 1 species
CCUACGGGUGGCAGCAGUAGGGAAUAUUGCUCAAUGGGGGAAACCCUGAAGCAGCAACGCCGCGUGGAGGAUGAAGGUUUUCGGAUUGUAAACUCCUUUUGUUAGAGAAGAUAAUGACGGUAUCUAACGAAUAAGCACCGGCUAACUCCGUGCCAGCAGCCGCGGUAAUACGGAGGGUGCAAGCGUUACUCGGAAUCACUGGGCGUAAAGGGCGCGUAGGCGGGAUAGCAAGUCAGAUGUGAAAUCCUAUGGGCUAACCCUAGAACUGGAUUUGAAACUGUUAUUCUAGAGUAGGGGAGAGGUAGGUGGAAUGCUUGGUGUAGGGGUAAAAUCCGUAGAGAUCGAGCGGAAUACUCAUUGCGAAGGCGGCCUGCUAGAUCAUAACUGACGCUGAUGCGCGAAAGCGUGGGGAGCGAACAGGAUUAGAUACCCCGGUAGUC